UGGCUGGCUUGGGUUGGUAGGUGAGGGAAAACUUUUGCCUUCCUUUCCUCCCUCCCGUUAUACCCCUCUCCUGCAUUCUUAGCCAGCUGCUUCUCUGCACACCCCUCUCGUGCUCCUUGUCCCUUCUGUGUUUUUCCUUCCCUCCCCACUUAAAAUGUGGUUAAAAAGCAUGGAUCCACAUGGAUCCUCAGGAUCUUUGCAUUGGGUCACCCCAAAUUCACCAUCAGAUCACAUAGCAUGUCCAUGGCUACAGCCUGCCCCCCAAAAAUCACGCACCCACUGUUGCCUGGGGCUGCAAUGGUGCAAAAAUGUGGUUAAAAAGCAUGGAUCCACAUGGAUCCUCAGGAUCUUUGCAUUGGGUCACCCCAAAUUCACCAUCAGAUCACAUAGCAUCCUGUCCCCCAAAAAUCACACACCCACUGUUGCCUGGGGCUGCAAUGGUGCAAAAACAUGGUUACAAAGCAUGGAUCCACAGGGAUUCUCAGGAUUUUUGCAUUGGGUCACCCCAAAUUCACCAUCAGAUCACAUGUCUGUGGCCACAGCAUGAAGCACAAAAAUGAUACAUCCACUGUUUCAUUCAGAAUGUUUUCCCCCUUGUUUUCCUCCUCUAAAAAUGAUGUGCGUGUUAUGGUCAGGUGCGUGUUAUAGAGCGAAAAAUACGGUAAUUAAAAU